rnacentral:rRNA from 1 species
AGAGGAUGAUCAGCCACACUGGGACUGAGACACGGCCCAGACUCCUACGGGAGGCAGCAGUGGGGAAUAUUGGACAAUGGGGGCAACCCUGAUCCAGCAAUGCCGCGUGUGUGAAGAAGGCCUGCGGGUUGUAAAGCACUUUCAGUGGGGAAGAUGGGCUGCGUGUAACGAGCGCGGUUUGACGUUACCCACAGAAGAAGCACCGGCUAACUCCGUGCCAGCAGCUGCGGUAAUACGGAGGGUGCAAGCAUUAAUCGGAUUUAUUGGGCGUAAAGGGCGCGUAGGCGGCAAUGUAAGUCAGGGGUGAAAUUCCGCAGCUCAACUGCGGAGCAGCACUUGAAACUACAUAGCUAAAGUAUAGGCGGAGAAAAUGGAAUUUCACAUGUAGCGGUGAAAUGCGUAGAUAUGUGAAGGAACACCGGUGGCGAAAGCGGUUUUCUAGCCUAUAACUGACGCUGAGGAGCGAAAGCAAGGGGAGCAAACAGGAUUAGAUACCCUGGUAGUCCUUGCCGUAAACGAUGUAUACUUGAUGUAGUUGGAAUCAACCCCAGCUGUGUCGGAGCUCACGCGAUAAGUAUACCGCCUGGGGAGUACGCUCGCAAGGGUGAAACUCAAAAGAAUUGACGGGGACCCGCACAGGCAGUGGUGCAUGUGGUUUAAUUCGAUGCAACGCGAAGAACCUUACCCAGACUUGACAUGCAGAGGACGAUAUUAGAAAUAAUAUUUCCCUUCGGGGCCUCUGUGCAGGUGCUGCAUGGCUGUCGUCAGCUCGUGCCGUGAGGUGUUGGGUUAAGUCCCGCAACGAGCGCAACCCUUAUCAUUAGUUGCCAACGCGUAAAGGCGGGGACUCUAGUGAGACUGCCUGGGUUAACCAGGAGGAAGGUGAGGAUGACGUCAAGUCCGCAUGGCCCUUAUGUCUGGGGCUACACACGUGCAACAAUGGUUGGUACAGAAGGCAGCGAAGCCGCGAGGUGGAGCAAAUCCUAAAAAGCCAAUCUCAGUUCGAAUAGUAGUCUGCAAUUCGACUACUUGAAGUUGGAAUUGCUAGUAAUGGCGUGUCAACUACAACGCCGUGAAUACGUUCCCGGGUCUUGUACACACCGCCCGUCACAUCAUGGAAGUCGGUCUUACCCGAAGUCGCUGACCCAACCGUAAGGGGGGAGGUGCCGAAGGUGAGGUUGAUGACUGGGAUGAAGUCGUAACAAGGUA